CGUGCUGCAGUCCAUGGGGUUGCAAAGAAUCAGACACAACUGAGCGACUGAACAACAACAGCAACUGCCUGACAUGGUGCCUGACCUAGUAGAGGCUCUUGGGAGUGAAUGGAUGAUCAAUUCCCCUACUGCAACUGCCUUUCUCAGAAGAUUUUGACAUCCUGGCUGAGAGCGAAAUGCUACCAGAAAGCCUUGGGUACUGAUGAGCACAAAGCUAAGCUGUCCCCAUAGUACCAGCAAACCCACUGCUGGGCUUCUUUCUAUUCGCCUUAAGUUUUCAUUUUGGAAAAUUUCAAAGACAAACAAAACUAGAGAGAAGAAUUUAAUGUACCUACAGGUUUCUGCCACUCAGCUUCAACAAUCAUCAAAGCACAGCCAAUCCUGUUUCAUCCUCUGCGUUUCCACCCGACUGCCCUGGAUUUUGCUGCAGUAAAUCCCAAACACCACAUCUUUAUACUUAUAUUUCAUUUAUGUCUAAAAACAAAGACUUAAAAACAUUCACACAAUAUCAUUAUCACACUUAAACAGCAGUUAACUAUGACUCCUUAAUAUCCUCAACUAUCUAGUCAGAAUUCAUUUUUUAUUGACUGUCUCACAGAAAUUUUUUUCAGAACAUUUUGUUUUUCAAACAGGGAUCUGAAUAAGAUCCAAAUACUGUUUUUGGCUAAUAUAUCUUUUAAGUCCCUGAGAUAGUUAAGACUGUCUCACAAAAAUUUUUUUCAGAACAUUUCUUUUUUCAAACAGAGAUCUGAAUAAGGUCCAAAUACUGAUUUUGGCUAACAUAACGUUUAAGUCUCAACAUCGUACCACCUUUUUCAUUUGUUUAAGAAACUGAAUUGUUUCCCUGUGAAGAUUCCCAGAAUGUGGAUUUUUGUGAGUGGCUUUGUCUCAGUGGUGCUAUUUAAUGUGCUCCACUGAACCCUCUGUUUCCUGUAAGUUGGUGGCUGGCACUAGAGGCUUGGACAGAUCCAGGUUCAACUUUUAAGGGCAGCAUCAGGAGGUAUGUAAUGUCUGGCUGCCUCUCUCAAUGAUUUUAGCACCAUUAACACUUAUUUUCCAGAUGCAUUCAUGUACUGGGAUGGCAAAUUGGUGCUAUGCUAAUUCUAUCACUGGGUCCAGGAUGCUUCUCUAAAGAAAAACUUCCUCAUUAAUCAUUUGGUUAACAUGACAUCUAAUUUGUAUAGGAAAGGCAGGAUAAGUGGUUUCCUUUUCCCCUUCAUUUACCAAUUAUCAGAAUAAUGGGUUGCUUCCUUCUCAGCCUCCACAGUCACCAGUGAGACUUUUAGUAUCACUCUUUACUCAUAAAUUUAAACAUACUUGAUGUGUGUCAUCCAUUCCAGCUCUCAUCCUUGCUGGUGCUCAAAGUUUCCUGUCAUUAGCAAGUGGGAGCCUAUUCAAGUGGACUCCUGAGACAGUUAAAUAUGACCUUCAUAAUCAACAACCUCCUAUCUUUCUGGUACAGGAAGAUGUUCCAGAUUCAUCUUGUGGAUAUUUUGCCCUAGACCUGAAAUCAGUCACUUCUCCAAAGUGCCCUGGUUCCUUUUGGUGGAAGUGGUGCCGAGUGACUCCAAAGACAAGGACAGAAAAGGUGAUCAGCUCCCACCUGGCUCUCUCCCCUCAGAAUACACACCUUUGCAGCCCUGAGCUACCAGGUAUUGUGGCUGCAUGGAACAGAAGAAAAGCUGCACAUUUCAGUUUUAGGGUAAGUAUUUCACCAUGUUUUCAGAAAGAAAGGCAGUAUUUACAGUUUUAAAAGAAACAUGACUUUAAUAUCCAUAUUUCAGAAGUGAAAAAACGAAGAGCUAUAUUCAACCUAGACAGGACUGACACCAAAGAUAGUCAGUGGCCAAGAUAGGUUUCAUGCAAAGAGCCUCCUCCAUCCUGACAGCCUUGCCUCAAACUCUAUCUAGUCCAGAACUGGUGAGGGGCAUCUGAGGGUUCAGGAGAACCCUGAAAAGCUGUCUCAGUGUCAGGUUACCUCUGAUCCAGCAACCCCCUUUAAGUCCUCUGACAUUGACCCCAGGGCUUAAUCUCCUGUGAGUAGGUCUAAAACAGCCAUAGAGGCCUGUAACCAAUACCCUCUGGUCUGUCCUAAGAAUAGAACUAAAUCCCUCACUCACUCCUGAAUUGACCCUUGCUCUCCAAGAUCAAGGACACCCCUGAGGGCCCCUCCCUCUCCUCCAAAUUCCCACUGUUCAAGGUUGGAGGAGAACUGCUCUUUCAGGUAAAUAAAUGUUGAGUAACUUACUCUUACUUAUUCUUCCCAGUCUCCUAAGGACCUGAAUGAGCUAAAAGAAAACAGAAAUUCCUUCUGAAGAAAACAUCAACAGUGGGUAGUGGAGAAGCCAGGUGUUUCAGACACCAAUGAAGGCAUCACGUGACAGGAAAGCAGCACAUCUGGACAGCCGAGACAAGAGGGCCCAUUUUCGCCACCUGAGAUCAAGGCCUUCACUAUAGUUCCAGAAGGGAUAUGAUUCUGUACCUCCCAUUCUACCAAA